rnacentral:rRNA from 1 species
CCUACGGGUGGCAGCAGUGAGGAAUAUUGGUCAAUGGGCGCGAGCCUGAACCAGCCAAGUAGCGUGAAGGAUGACUGCCCUACGGGUUGUAAACUUCUUUUAUAAAGGAAUAAAGUGAGGCACGUGUGCCUUUUUGUAUGUACUUUAUGAAUAAGGAUCGGCUAACUCCGUGCCAGCAGCCGCGGUAAUACGGAGGAUCCGAGCGUUAUCCGGAUUUAUUGGGUUUAAAGGGAGCGUAGAUGGGUUGUUAAGUCAGUUGUGAAAGUUUGCGGCGCAACCGUAAAAUUGCAAUUGAUACUGGGAGUGGUGGGUGCGGUGGAGGUGGGGGGAGUGCGUGGUGUAGCGGUGAAAUGCUUAGAUAUCACGAAGAACUCCGAUUGCGAAGGCAGCUUAUUAAACUGCCACUGACAUUGAUGCUCGAAAGUGUGGGUAUCAAACAGGAUUAGAUACCCGAGUAGUC